rnacentral:rRNA from 1 species
AUGUUUCUUAUUUAUUCUGGAUAUGAUCUACUCCCUAGAUUUCAUAAUGUACUGCUCUUGAGAGGUGGAGCAUUAAAGAGCAAAUCAACUGGGCCAGGCCUUCAUGGCUUCGUCCCCUACUUUCUACUGAUCCAUGCCAACUGCGUAGUUAUUUACUUUGGAAAGGCCGAGAUAUAUUUCACAUUUAACAGAAAAGUUCACACUGCAAUUGUCUCUACAAAGUUAUGUUUUGUUUUCAUUAUUUGUUUAUGUAACUCAGUUUUGGACUUGGUACUCAUCUUGACAAUAGUGUUUUUAGAUGGUGCUGGGGAAUAG